UCAACAAAGAAAAAGUGAUCAAAAUUUAUGCAAAGUCUCGUGCGCUAAGGCAAACCAAAAUCAAAACUGAACCGUGACGAGCUAAGCUCGAAUAGCAGUUGGCCAAGGAGUGCCGGGGGCGAGGUGUCCAAGGGUCUACUUUGGAGAGUGGUAAACGGUCAGGCAGGCACUGUGUGGGCGCGUGUGUGUAUCUACUGCGAACAGGUUUUCUUGGCGAGCAUUCAGCGUAUACAGAUAAAUGGUUAUCCAGACAAAAUAUGAAGACGAUUAAGCAGAUGCCUAACCAAAUUUUGAGACGUUCAGAAGAAGCCAAACCAAAGUAUUCAUAGCUCAGUUUAUUUAACAAUUGAGAGACCCAGUCUUAUCUUAAUUUCAAACUCCACUGCAAUUAUCUGAUUAUGUAAAGAGCAUGCGCCUCGUUUCCAUUGGGACCUGGCACAGUCCAUUGCAGCUGACACAUGGAUUUCACAUGGAUGCGUGCGUGCUCUGCCGCUAGUAAUUUAAUUAAAAUGCAAGUGUAUCAAGGCCUUUGCGCCGCAUUUGUAGCUGAAGCCUCUCAGAUCUAUCCACAUAUCUAUUCAUAUAUCCAGCCAUGUCCACGCGCAUGGACAUGUGUGCGCCCGAUGUUUGUGCUGUCAUUAAUCUUUCGACAGCAGCGCCUACUGCUCCUCUUCAGCUUCAACAACUGUGAAAAUUGUUUUGCUGCGCAUUUUCAAUGGCAAGGCUUUGUUGCUGUUGUUGUUGUUGUUGUUGUUGCUGCCGCCGUUGCCGUUGCUGUCUAAUGAUCGCGUGCAGUUUUUCGUUCAUAAUGGGGCCAGGCGUCGUCAUAUAUCAUAAUUGUGCCAAACUAUGCAAGCAGAUACAAACGAGCAGGCGUCUAUCUAUGACUCGUUUAUGGCCGCAGAUACUUGGACUUGAGCUUGAAGCCGGCUUUAGGCCAGAUGCAGAUUUAAGCCGCUUGAUUAAUGUGUUCAAUGUGCACACUUGUCAGUUGUUAUAAAUGUACUUUGUUUUCUGUUAAUCACAGCCGCUAAAUUCCCAGCUCACAAUGAACCGUGAACCCUGCUCUGUCGUAAAUUAAUGAUCCCUUAGAAUGUGGAAAUCGCUUUGUUUAAUUAAAUUCAUAAAUCCAGCUUGAGCUUAGCUCAAGCUUAGCCAUGGCCGCGCAUUCCACAAAUAACUGUAUGCCACCCACUGUGCGGUGACAGGCUAGCGAGUGUGACAAUUGAAUUUUAACAUAUUCAUAAGCGAAUUAUAAUAAAAUGUGGAGAAAAAACUGUAACAGAAGUGUUGAGAUCGCACUAAUUACAUGUCAAGCGGCCCACACACUCGCAGCCAACACCUUGGCGCAUAAAUUUACAACAAACGACGCAUGUCGCCCGCCUCGCCCCGAGCUGCCGCCUUGUCGCAGUCAAAACUGUUGCAUGUGGCACUUUACAGACUGUCAGACAGACAGCCAGACAGAUAGGCAGACAGACGCAUUUGCAGUCACAUUCACAGCGCACGCGCAGCCACCACGCCCUCUCUGUCCUGCCCCCAUGCCUCUCUUUUGUCCACAUAGGAAAUUAGCACACGCUGUCACACACACACUCACAGAGUAAACAAAAAAAACAACAAAAAAAGAUUUAAAUAAAA